AUCUGAUACCAACUUAAAACUAGGUAUGCAAAUAAUUCUUUUUUGCGUUAAAAGAUAAUCCGUUGAUAGUAUCAGAUGGUAUCUUAAUUAUUUUUUUUUAUCGCCUUUCUCUUUCUCUUUAACGUCAUUCUAUAUCCCUUUCAUUCUAAAUGUAACAAAAAGUGUAACAAGUGUAACCCAUGGUGUAGCCAACAAGAACAGCUGAUGGAUCAUCUGAUCUGAUCAGUGAUCACAUCUGAUUUCAAGGCGCGGACGCGGCGGACCGCGGACGACCGUUCCUUUCGGCUCUUUCAAGUUACUGGAUCAUAUAAUUGGGACUGAUUGAAACAAACGUGAUCAAAUAACCAUAAUAAAUGAAGGAGGAAAUAUGUCAGCAGGCGAAUUUGGUAUCAGCGAGCGGAUGCAACGGAAUGCCUCCACGAGUCAACAAAGAGCGACGAAUGUGGGCGGCAAUUUCGCGUGCUCCUUUUGUCCCUUGAAGGAACAGUAAGAUUACAAAGGAGCGAGGCCGCCGUUCACUCGGCAUUUGGUUUAUUCGGAAGAAUGUUACAUCAUGAAGGAUCCGUUUAGGUUGCCGAACAGAGGCGAAGUCCUGGUCUUGGGCGCCGAUUGUAGCGUGUGCAAGCACGCCGUGUGUCUAGGAUGCAGCACAUUUUACACGAGGCGUUUCUGUUCGAAAUUCGCGUCCAGUAAUGUGCAGUAUUUACCGUCCCAGCUAUACGGUAAAAUCAAAAACUUAACGAAGAAGGCAAAUUCUUGAAAAUAAUGUAAAUUUCUCAUCAAACGUUAUUUAUUAAAAAAAUCAAUGACGACAGUUACAAUACAAAAAGAAAUAUAUUUUAUAUGUUUGAGGUAGUUGUAGUUUUGUUUAAAUCUGUGUAUGAUCAAUUUUCUAUAAAAACUUGUUCUUUAUAA